rnacentral:rRNA from 1 species
UACGUAGGGGGCUAGCGUUAUCCGGAAUUACUGGGCGUAAAGGGUGCGUAGGUGGUUUCUUAAGUCAGAGGUGAAAGGCUACGGCUCAACCGUAGUAAGCCUUUGAAACUGGAGAACUUGAGUGCAGGAGAGGAGAGUAGAAUUCCUAGUGUAGCGGUGAAAUGCGUAGAUAUUAGGAGGAAUACCAGUUGCGAAGGCGGCUCUCUGGACUGUAACUGACACUGAGGCACGAAAGCGUGGGGAGCAAACAGG